ACCUCUACUUUGUGAGUUGGGAUUUUGAAAUGUAAAUAAGAAGUAACAGGUCUUUAAAUGAGGCCUUCAGUAGUAAAAAAAAAAAAAAAAAAUUAUGGAAAUCUUUAUUAUAUAUUUCCUCUUCCAGAUUAGAAUUCACCACAUUCUUUGCGAUUUACAUUCUCAGAUGAUAAAAACAAGGUGAAGUAGAAAUUGUACACGUCACUACAUGUUGUGUGAAUUAAAUUGAUGGACCCUAUGAAAAUAAUAAUUCCAAUAAAUAUUUUUUGGAUCUCUUUGAUUUGCAAGCAUGUUAAUACAUAAAAGAAACAUAAAAAUAUCUUAAUGAACUAUAAAAAAAAGGCAAUGGGAAAUGUUGAAAUGCAUGAAUUAGAACCGGUACGAGCUGAUGAAAGAAAGGAAUUGGAUCUAAGUCUUCCAAUUGACUAUAAAACAUAUUGCAAGCAUAUUGAUGGAAAGCCUUCUAGCAAGUGUUUAACUGAACUUCCUUCUCCCUUAACAGAAUCCAUUUCAUUAUAUGAAAGAGUCAACUUAUCUUUUAACUGCUUGUCAACUCUGCCUGCUGACUUGCCACUGAGAUUGCCACACAUUUCAUUUUUAGAUUUAUGUUAUAAUCGAAUUUCGAAGUUACCUGAUAGUCUUGGUCUUUUGUUCCACUUGAAAGACCUGCUUUUAUCACAUAACUGUUUAGAAGUCUUACCGCAGGCAAUUACUCGACUUGUAAAGCUGCAAAAAAUUGAUGUCUCCCAUAAUGUUUUGCAAGAAUUACCUGAAAAGAUAGGUGAAAUGGAAUCACUUAAAAAACUUAAUGUUAGCCAUAACAAACUUAAAAGUCUUCCUAAGUCAUUGGGGUAUAGUGAUACUAUUAAAGUAAUUUUAGCAGGCUCUAAUUGUUGUGUAUCUCAGCCCCCACAGAAUAUUUGUGAUGGUGGUUCUGAUCAAACUAUUAGAUUUUUGAAACAGCUUGCAUCUGGGAAAAUCUUGUCGAAAGUAGAAAGGGAAGUUAAUAUUUUCCCUAGAGUUCGAGGCAAUGUAGUCCAAACAGCUGUGCCUAAUUCAGAUUCAGCACUUGCUCAGUAUGUGCAAAUACAGACUGAAACCAUGAAUACUGCAAGCAGAAUUCGAACACCAUUACUGCCACCUUAUGAUGCUACUCAGCUCCAUCCUGAUGAGUUAAAAGAUAAAAUUAUAGGUCUUAUAUAUGGUGCUGUUAUUGGAGAUGCUUUAGGAAUAGCUACAGAAUUUCUAUCCCAGGAUGAAUGUCAGUUCUACUAUGAUGAAGAAACGCUGACGUAUGCAGAUAUUAUACGUGAUGAGCAUAGAGUACAUUGGGCCAAAGGUGACUGGACAUCUAAUUCAGAUCAAAUGUUACUUGUCUUGGAUUCUCUUCUUCAGUGGGCUGGUGUUGUAGAUGAACUUGAAUUUGCAAAGCGGCUUGUAGCUUGGAAGAAAAGUGGCAUACCAGAGCUUGGUCAAAGAGAAAGCUAUAUGUUUUCAACUACAGUCAACUUGGUGUUGCAAGCUGACAAUUACAGCCAAAAUCCUCACCAAGUAGCUCAGGAUAUUCAUAAAAAUGAUGGUAUGGGACAAGCAAAUGGAAGCAGUCACAUGAUAAAAUCACCUCUAUUUGUUGAUAGUGGGUCUUUGCCUCGGUCUCUGGUUUUAGGUAUACCUCGUUUUCAUGAUUUAAAUGAAGUUACUUCAAAUUCCGUACGAAUAUGCUUAGCUACACAUCAAGAUGAGAGAUGUGUUUCAGCAUGUGUAUCUUUAAGUGUUGCCAUUGCUCUCUUACUUCAGUUGAUGAUCCUUCCCAAACUGAAGAAUUGCUGAAGUUCUCUACCCAGUGUGGUUUGAAUUAUAUUAAAGAUGAAGGCAUUCAAAAGGAAUUUAUUCACUACUGUACAUAUAGUGACUUUAAUAGUAUUGGAGUAUCGGAAAUUGGAAAGGUGUGCCAUCCGUUUAAGGCAUGUGCUACUGCAUUUACAGCUCUUCGACAAGGAAAAGACUUUAA
rnacentral:misc_RNA from 1 species